rnacentral:RNase_P_RNA from 1 species
GCGGAGGAUAGGAUGGUCGCAAAUCAAUUGGUUUGAGGAAAGUCCGGACUCCACGGAGCAACGGUACCGGGUAACGCCCGGGCAAGGUAACUUGACGGAAAGCGCCACAGAAAUCAAACCGCUCUCAUUUCAGAGCAAGGGUGAAAAGGUGGGGUAAGAGCCCACCGCGCAACUGGUAACAGGAGUGGCAUGGCAAGCCCUAUCAGGAGCAAUGCCAAAUAGGACCUCCGUUCGGCAAUGGUUUUCUUAUGAGGACGCUCUGUCGAUAAGUGCGCUUCGGCUGAGGGAGGUCGGGUCGGCAGCUUGAGGUCUGUGGGCAACCACAGUGCCUAGAUGAAUGAUCAUCUCCCGUGCAAACGGGAACAGAAUCCGGCUUACAUGUCUUCCGCACCA